CAAUAUUGAUACAUUAAUUGUUUUUAACUACUAAUAAAAUGCCACUAUUUUUUUUAUAAAAAUAUCUAUUUUACCCUUCUAAAUGACAAAAAAUGCCCCUAUUUGAAAAAUUUUGUAUUAUAAUUCAAAGGUAUUUUAUACACGACCAAGUGGGAUUACCCCACUAACUCAUAUGUAGAAAAGCCAAGGGUAUUAAAAAAGCUGGGAUUAUCCCACUAGCUCAUAUGAACAUAUGAGCCCAACGACCCAGAUUGAAUCUAGGCCGAUCUUACGAUGACAGAUGUUCGCUAGUGUUUGGAUUUUAUUCAUUUUUUUACAAAUCCAAUUAUUGCUUAAAAUUUUAGGUAUGUGUUCUUCAUCAAGGCGCACCUAAUAAAAAUAUAAAAAAAUUUAUUCGCAAAAACAAAAUGACCAAAAUACCUCCCAAAGCUUUUGGGGGUAUUUUGGUCAAUUUAUUUCAUUUAAAAUAUUUUUUUGAUAUUUUUCAAAGAUUCAUCUAUUUUUUAUAAACAUACACCUAAAAUUUUAAGUGAUUUGGAUUUGUAGAAAAUAAAAUAAAAUUUAAACACUACCAAACAUCUGUGACCGUCAGAUCGACCUAAAUUCAAUAUGGGCCGUUGGCCUCAUAUAUUCAUAUGACCUAGUGGGCUAAUCCCAGCUUUUUCCUAUAUAUAUAUAUAAACCUUCCAACAGUUGGGCAGCUAUAAUGAAUAGUAAUAUAGGUGGAAUCCCAG
rnacentral:lncRNA from 1 species